GCUGUCACUAUAGAUGGACCGCGGCGGCAUAGCUAGUGGUGAGGUAAGGCUCACCAGCACGAUGCGUAGCCGACUGAGAGGGUGAUCGCCACACUGGACUGAGACACGGCCAGACUCUACGGAGCAGCAGUAGGAUCUUCCACAAUGGACGUAAGUCUGAUGGAGCACGCCGCGUGAGUGAAGAAGAUUUCGGUUCGUAAAACUCUGUUGCAAGGGAAGAACAAGUAGCGUAGUAACUGGCGCUACCUUGACGGUACCUUGUUAGAAAGCCACGGCUAACUACGUGCCAGCAGCCGCGGUAAUACGUAGGUGGCAAGCGUUGUCCGGAAUUAUUGGGCGUAAAGCGCGCGCAGGUGGUUCCUUAAGUCUGAUGUGAAAGCCCCCGGCUCAACCGGGGAGGGUCAUUGGAAACUGGGGAACUUGAGUGCAGAAGAGGAUAGUGGAAUUCCAAGUGUAGCGGUGAAAUGCGUAGAGAUUUGGAGGAACACCAGUGGCGAAGGCGACUGUCUGGUCUGUAACUGAACACUGAGGCGCGAAAGCGUGGGGAGCAAAACAGGAUUAGAUACCCUGGUAGUCCACGCCGUAAACGAUGAGUGCUAAGUGUUGGGGGGUUUUCCGCCCCUCAGUGCUGCAGCUAACGCAUUAAGCACUCCGCCUGGGGAGUACGGUCGCAAGACUGAAACUCAAAGGAAUUGACGGGGGCCCGCACAAGCGGUGGAGCAUGUGGUUUAAUUCGAAGCAGACGCGAAGACACCUUACCAGGUCUUGACAUCCCGGUGACCACUAUGGAAGACAUAGUUCUCCCCUUCGGGGGCAACGGUGACAGGUGGUGCAUGGUUGUCGUCAGCUCGUGUCGUGAGAUGUUGGGUUAAGUCCCGCAACGAGCGCAACCCUUAUUCUUAGUUGCCAUCAUUCAGUUGGGCACUCUAAGGAGACUGCCGGUGAUAAACCGGAGGAAGGUGGGGAUGACGUCAAAUCAUCAUGCCCCUUAUGACCUGGGCUACACACGUGCUACAAUGGACGGUACAAACGGUUGCCAACCCGCGAGGGGGAGCUAAUCCGAUAAAACCGUUCUCAGUUCGGAUUGUAGGCUGCAACUCGCCUACAUGAAGCCGGAAUCGCUAGUAAUCGCGGAUCAGCAUGCCGCGGUGAAUACGUUCCCGGGCCUUGCACACACCCGCCCGUCA
rnacentral:rRNA from 1 species